AACUUUGAAGGCCGAAGA
rnacentral:ncRNA from 2 species